rnacentral:lncRNA from 1 species
CUUAGAAUGCGACCAGUGUAGACAGUAAAUCGGUGUGGUCCUUGAGUUCACACUCACCAGGGCAGAAAGGACUGGCGCAAGGAGACAGUUUUCCACUGUUGGCACGGUUCAGAACAAGGCUUCCGUGUGAUCUCCAAGCGCCGUGCCUAGUUUGCUGUGUCUUCCGCCCGCCCCGCCCUGGCCCUGCAAGCCUCUCCCUGCGCCUUGAUACCGCAGGGCGCCUUCUGCUGCUGCUGGGGCGGUGGGCGGCCAGGCAGCUGGAGGAGCCCACGACGAGGACCAGGAUGAGAAUGAAGACGGGACCGAGACGCCCCCAGAUCAUGGCGUCUCUGCGGGAACCGACACAUAGACGAAGGACCUUGUAUACAGAGCUAUUUUACAGAAAUUGCGAGUGGCACCAUGGUAUUUUUUGUGGAGCCUCACCCUCUCCUGGGCCCGCACCCCGUCGUCGUCCUCAGUCCCUGGGCAGACAUUCAUAAGCCCCUAACCGCUAAUCCCACGGUGACUCUAGCCCAAAAAAAAAAAAAAAAAAAAAAAAAAAAACCAGAGGAGAGACCCUUCUCUGGCACCUAUAACAAUCUCUUUUCUCUGAGGGUCGCCCCUUUGCUGCUGAGUGUCUCCCACUUGGGAGAGUCCCUAGCAGGACACUCAAUCAUUUAUUCAACAAGUCUGGCUGUGUAGGUCCCCAUGCUUUGCACUCAAGUAUGGGUGCUAGGUAAGGGGAUAGGAACAGGAUGCCCACCUUUGGGGUAGACCCCUCAGUUUCUAUUACAGUAUGAUUUUGGAGCCCUCUGGUGUUUAAGAAACCAGACAGUCCGUGGACACCCAAGCAUGGGAAAAGCCCCAAGUCCUCCCUGUACUCAGGCUGGGGUGCCUAAGCAAAGGGGGUCCUGACAGAGAACAGAGCCAGCUCUUGGGGACACUGGAGGUUUGCUAGUGUGUGAAUGUGUACCCCCAAAAGUUCAUAUCUUGGAAACUUGGUCCCCGGCACAGCAGCCCUGAGAGAGGAGCGCUCUGCCAGGGCCUUUGUGAACAGGUUUAAUCCUUUCGAGGAUUAAUAAGUUGUCUUGAGUAUAGCUUUGUUAUAAAGGCAAGUUCCCUUGAGCAUGCUUGUUCAGCCUGCAUGUGAUACCUCCACGUGUGUCAUGACAUAGCACAAAGCCAUCAGACACAGCAAACACCAGGCAUUAGGUGCUAGUCCCAUUCUCUCAAACUUUCCUGACUCCAGAACCAUGAGCUAAAUAAAACUCUGUUCUCUCUA